UGACGUAUGUAGAGUUUGAUCCUGGCUCAGAACGAACGUUAGCGGCGCGCCUAACACAUGCAAGUCGCGCGAGAAAGGGCUUCGGCCCCAGUAAAGCGGCGCACGGGUGAGUAACACGUAGGUCAUCUUCCCCUGAGUGGUGGAUAACUCUCCGAAAGGAGAGCUAAUACAGCAUAAGACCACGACCUCGCUGAGGUUGUGGCCAAAGCAGACCUCUUCACGAAAGUUUGCGCUUAGGGAUGAGCCUGCGGCCCAUCAGCUAGUUGGUAGGGUAAUGGCCUACCAAGGCUAAGACGGGUAGCUGGUCUGAGAGGAUGAACAGCCACACUGGAACUGAGACACGGUCCAGACUCCUACGGGAGGCAGCAGUGGGGAAUCUUGCGCAAUGGGCGAAAGCCUGACGCAGCGACGCCGCGUGAGCGAUGAAGGCCUUCGGGUUGUAAAGCUCUGUGGGGGAGGGAAGAAUAAGUCUUGGCUAAUAUCCAAGAUGAUGACGGUACCUCCUUAGCAAGCACCGGCUAACUCUGGUGCCAGCCGCCGCG
rnacentral:rRNA from 1 species